GAUGAACGCUGGCGGCGUGCCUAAUACAUGCAAGUCGAGCGAACAGACGAGGAGCUUGCUCCUCUGACGUUAGCGGCGGACGGGUGAGUAAAACGUGGAUAACCUACCUAUAAGACUGGGAUAACUUCGGGAAACCGGAGCCAAUACAGGAUAAUAUAUUGAACGUCAUGGUUCAAUAGUGAAAGAGGGUUUUGCUGUCACUUAUAGAUGGAUGCGCGCCGCAUUAGCUAGUUGGUAAGGUAACGGCUUACCAAGGCGACGAUGCGUAGCCGACCUGAGAGGGUGAUCGGCCACACUGGAACUGAGACACGGUCCAGACUCCUACGGGAGGCAGCAGUAGGGAAUAUUGGGCAAUGGGCGAAAGCCUGACGGAGCAACGCCGCGUGAGUGAUGAAGGUCUUCGGAUUGUAAAACUCUGUUAUUAGGGAAGAACAAAUGUGUAAGUAACUAUGCACGUCUUGACGGUACCUACAGAGAAAGCAACGGCUAACUACGUG
rnacentral:rRNA from 1 species